UACGUAGGGUGCAAGCGUUGUCCGAAAUUAUUGGGCGUAAAGAGCUCGUAGGCGGUCUGUCGCGUCUGCUGUGAAAACUCAGGGCUUAACCCUGAGCUUGCAGUGGGUACGGGCAGACUAGAGUGCGGUAGGGGAGACUGGAAUUCCUGGUGUAGCGGUGAAAUGCGCAGAUAUCAGGAGGAACACCGGUGGCGAAGGCGGGUCUCUGGGCCGUAACUGACGCUGAGGAGCGAAAGCAUGGGGAGCGAACAGG
rnacentral:rRNA from 1 species